AUUUAAGGUGCUCAGCAGGACUGAGCCCAGAAUCCAAGCAACAACAGACUCUUUCAAAAACCAGACAGGUUUACUGGAAAAAGGCAGUGCCACCUGAGGAGCUCAGCUCACCCAGUCGAUGUGAAAGCGAGACAAACCGAGGUGCAGCAGAUGAAGGGGAGGCAGCAAGAUCAGCUGGUGGAGACAGCAGUGUCACUUUGAGCUACCCCAGCCUCAGACUCCGUGCGUACAGCAUCGAGAGCAUGACAACAUUUCCAAAUGGCUGUGGAAAUGGCACCACUGUUACUUGUAUAGUUAUGGAUAAUAAAGAGCCCCAAAACCAGACUGCCUGUGUCAGUAACAAUGGGGGACACAGCACCAGCAACAGUCAUGAGGAAGAAUUUCAAGAGGAUAAACUCAGCCCUUCCAAAAUCAUGCGCUUUUUCACCACCCCUCGGAAACGGGCUAAUUCCAGCUCUGACAGGCCUCGUUCUCUGGUUUUGAUGGGCAGCUCGUCCACAUGGAAUGCCUUCUCUUCCAUCAGAAAAAUGGGUUCUUUCAAGAAGUUGAAAUCUUCGGUUCUCCAAGAAGUUAAGACAAGGGAAUGUUCAGACAUCUUAAAUGAGAAUGGCGUAGGCAAACAUGGCUUAAAUGGGGCAGUGGUACGAAUUCAGACUAACAGGUAUUCCUAUUCGGGGCCUCUACAUGAUUUCCAGAAUGCAGUGGAUGGUUUAGCUUCUGACUGCUCUGAUGCAGAGGAAAGUGAUGAGUCUUUCCUGAGGAACACUCAUCGUUCACGCAGCAUCAGGCGGGCUUAUGGUGCUGGCCGCAUAAACUUGCUAGACACAGAUAAAGUCCAGAAUCAUCAAAACUAUGUUAGGCCAACAUCACCUGUCAUUGCAGAGCCAAAGAUCUGUGAAAUUUUGGUGAAGGACUCUGCAGACAACAGGAUGAUUUAUCGGAGAAGCAAAAGUUCUGAUAAUUUGAACUUUCUGAAAAAAAGCUCAUUCAAACGGAAGUCCACCUCAAACCUUGCUGAUCUGAAGGUUGCAAAUGAGAAACAGAUGCCAACAAGGACUGUGAGUGCUGCUUCUGCUGACUCAGACAAAAGUGGUGGAAACCCUGAGAGGAGAUCCAAGCGAUGGAAGAGCCCUAUCAGGGCAAAGGAUUUUGACCGAGUUUUGAAACUUGUCAGUAAUGUUACGGAUGUUGCAUGGAAGAAGGAUGCCCCUAAGAGCACAGCUCCUUCUCCCAUUGAGCAGUCCCAGAGAAUAAGGUCAAACAGCAGACUGCACGAUGACUACUCCCGCAGGGUUUCCAGCAGCACGGAUCAUGACAAAAAGAGAUGCACCUCCCCAGUAUCCAGUCCAGACUCUUCCUUGCAGGGAACACCUUGUCUGCAAAGCCCUGUGGUUGCUCAGGAUAAAGAGGCCGAAAUGAAUGUAGCUGUUGUGGAAGACAAAAGUCUCAGGACGUCAUCGGGUAUCCUAGACUCUGAUAGUUUAUCACCGACACUGAAUGACAUUAGUCCAUUUCCCAAUGAAGUCUUUUAUUCGGACUCAGAUGAACCAAAAGCUACCCAGCAGUUUACAGACGAAGCUGAAAACCCUAACGUUCCAGUCAGGCCAAUUACUCCAAAGCCUCAAAGUCCUACUGCAGGGAAGGUCAAGUGCAGUAUGAAUUUCCAGUGUCAAAACCAUCACAGCACAUUGUCACUGAGCUCAUCAGAGAGUGAGGAAAGAGUUGAGGUACCAGGGCUGAAGUUGGGAAGGAAUCCUGUUUGCUUCCAGGACUCAGUGCAAACUGUGUACUACGAUGACGGAAAUGAAGACAGUGGCAUAAGCAGCCACUCUCAACUGAGCCUCAAUUUAGCCUCUGGUGCCGAAGACAAAAAGGAAGAGGUUGUUUCUGAUGACCACUGGAAGAGAUCCACAUCUCAGGAUGAAGAAAAGGCAGACUCACAAAAGGUCACACCCAGGAGAUGGGGCUCUGGAAAAAGAUCUCGGCCCAGACCUCUCUCAGACUAUGGCCAAAUGUCAAUCAGAAGUUUCUCUAUACCAGAAGAUGCAGUUGUGGUGGAAUCUCAGAAGACAGACUGCAUGGAUGGAGAAAGUCAGCCAGGACUGUCAUCCGUUGGGUCUGUGGUCCAAAGCAACACAGUAGGCUACCACAGAGGGCGAAAAAGAAGACCUAUCUCCAUAAUAGGUGGGGUCAAUUUCUAUGGAAACGGUCCAGUAGGAGAGAGAGAAGGUCUGCUGACACAACCUGUAACACGGCCACCUGUUCCAGCACACCAGGUGCCCCCAUACAAAGCUGUUUCAGCCAGGUUCCGGCCACUCACCUUUUCUCAAAGUACUCCCAUUGGCCUGGACCGGGUUGGACGGAGGCGGCAGAUGAGAACAUCUGAUGUUGCUGCAGAUGGUGGGACUGAAUCUUCAGCCUUAGUGGAUGACAAUGGCAGUGAGGAAGAUUACAGCUACGAGGAGCUCUGCCAAGCUGCUCCCAGGUACCUGCAGCCCGGAGGCGAACAGCUAGCAAUUAAUGAGCUGAUAAGCGAUGGCACUGUUGUCUAUGCAGAGGCUCUCUGGGACCAUGUCACUAUGGAUGAUCAAGAGCUGGGCUUCAAAGCUGGAGAUGUCAUUAGAGUUCUAGAAGCUUCCAACAAAGAUUGGUGGUGGGGAAGAAAUGAGGACAAGGAAGCCUGGUUUCCAGCCAGCUUUGUCAGGCUGCGAGUUAAUCAGGAAGAAGUGCCAGAAAAUUGUAAUAGUAUCCAGGAUGAAGAACAAGAUGCAGAUAUUAGCAAGCAUCGCCAGAAAAUAGCUGAAAACAAGGAUCAGAUGAGAACCAAUGUUAUACAGGAAAUUAUGAACACAGAACAAGUCUAUAUCAAGCAUCUCAAGGACAUCUGUGAGGGUUAUAUUCGGCAGUGUCGUAAACAUACAGGAAUGUUCACCACAGCUCAGUUAAGCACCAUUUUUGGAAAUAUUGAAGAUAUUUACAAGUUCCAAAGGAAGUUUCUGAAGGAUCUUGAGAAACAGUACAACAAAGAAGAACCUCAUCUAAGUGAAAUAGGAUCAUGUUUUCUUCAACAUCAAGAAGGCUUUGCUAUUUAUUCAGAGUAUUGUAACAAUCAUCCCAGUGCCUGCAUUGAACUUUCCAAACUAAUGAAACAGGGCAAAUACCGCCACUUCUUCGAGGCCUGUCGCUUGCUUCAGCAGAUGAUUGACAUUGCCAUUGAUGGUUUUCUUCUCACGCCUGUUCAGAAAAUCUGCAAAUACCCUCUGCAGCUUGCAGAAUUGCUCAAAUACACCACUCAGCAACACAGUGAUUAUAACAACAUAAAAGCUGCAUAUGAGGCUAUGAAGAACGUUGCAUGUCUGAUCAAUGAGCGAAAACGGAGACUAGAAAGCAUCGACAAGAUUGCACGUUGGCAAGUCUCUAUCGUAGACUGGGAGGGACCAGAUGUGUUAGCCAGAAGCUCAGAACUGAUUCACUCAGGAGAACUGACCAAAAUAUCAAAACAAGGCAAAAGCCAGCAGAGGACUUUCUUCCUUUUUGACCAUCAGCUUGUGUUCUGUAAGAAGGACUUGCUGAGAAGGGACAUCUUGUAUUAUAAAGAUCGUAUUGACAUGGAUGAAAUGGAAAUUGUGGACAUCGAAGAUGGCAAAGACAGAGACUUUAACAUUAAUGUCAAGAAUGCUUUUAAGAUAAUAAACAGAACAACAGAAGAGAUUCAUUUGUUCUGUGCAAAAAAACAAGAGGAUAAAAAGAGAUGGAUUGAGGCAUGCGAAAGUGAGAGGAGAAGAGUUCAAGAAGACAAGGAAAUGGGUAUGGAAAUCUCAGAAAGCCAGAAGAAACAAGCCAUGCAGAAUGCCCGUAAGUCAAGGCAAGGAAAAAUUAAAGGUGUAAGCUAUAAUGGGUGUCCUGUGCCUCCUCCACACCAAACCCUGCAUCCCAUUCACCAGCGACACAUCACUGUACCUACCAGCAUCCCGCAGCAGCAGGUCUUUGCCCUGGCAGAACCCAAGCGGAAGCCAUCCCUCUUCUGGCAUACCUUCAACAAACUCACUCCCUUUAAAAAGUGAGAAGCCAAGGACCUGGAAGGACUUCAGCAUAGCAGGAGACUUACUCUAGAGGAGGACCCUGGAGACACAGUUAAUCUUACUCGAGCUCGGCGAAUCUCCUGUUUUGGAGGCAAAACGUUGGCUUCUCUUGAGCCAGAAAUGCAGCCUUUGUCUAGAAUACAAAUGAAGUUUCUCAAGACUGCUCUGAAGUCCAUGUUGCCAAGUGUCAGCAUUACUGAUGAAGAGCAGUCUCUCUUCUGACUAAGACAGCUUGCUGUUACUCAGAAGCAGCAGUAUUCAGUCUCCAUUUCUUAGUUAUGUUGAAGUAGUGAUGGAGUUAUGCAGGUCAUUGUAACAUUUCAUUUUUUUUAACCCUAUAUUGAUGGCCAAAUUUAGGAUAGGAAGGUGUUUUUCCUUAGGGAUGUAUCAGCAAGGAAUCUUAGGAGAUUUUUCUUCUUUCUCCAGGAUCACCGAGCAGAGACCACCCAUUAAAAUCAGAUAGAGACAUCCCAUGUGUUUAAUGAGCUACUGCAGCAUUUAGUGGACCCUAAUCCUUCCUGUCUUUUUUAUUAUAUUGCCAAAUGGCAGGAGAACAUCCCGCAAGGCCUUACCAUAUUCCAGAUUGGAACAGGGAAAUUUUAUUCUGUCAUCUAGAAACACGAACAGUGUGUGAAAUGAACUGUAAAGAUACGUGCAUUUGUUGCACACAAGUGGAAACAAGAGGAGCCCAGGGCAUCUCAGAUUGAUUGAUUUCAAUCAGAGCAAUAUACUGCAUGUAUGUAUGCUCUUCAGUGUAGAGCUUUUAUAUCCCUUUUUGCGCAUUUCUUUGCCUGGGAGAGACUUCUUUAUAUUUCCAAUGUGUUUAUUUCUCUGUGUAAAAAAUAGUUUUUUAUUUUCUAACAGAGAUAAUGUGAAUGUACAAAGUCAGCAUUGAGACAGUACAUGGUGACUGCUGGCUAUGUUACAGUCUAGGUCUAACGCUUUUUUCAUGUAUUUUGACUUAGAAAAUGGAUUAAUAGUAAUGUAAAUAUAUUAAAGUGGUCUGGAUCCAAGCUUCUUAUACACGUUCGAUUGACAAUGGGUUUUGAGCAAUUACUUCUUCACAAAGAAAGUGAAAUCUUUACUGGAAGGGACAGAGAAAUUGUGUGGACUGGCGAUGGAUUUUUGUCUCAGAGUCAUCACUCUCUAUUGGAAGGGGAAGAACCUGACUUGAUUAGGGUCAGCUCUGGCCAACAUAUGCAAUCCGUGAUUUGCAUUGCUGCAAUUUGCCUGUGACAUGAAGUUGAUUUGUGAGAACAACUUUUAAAAAGCCACCAGGAAGAAAGAGGAUCCUGAUAUUUGUAGCACUGGUAAUUUCUGCUUAGUAGCUCUCAUCAAGGAUGAAAAGACUGUUGGGAAUAUGGAAGGAAAUAAAGACUCCAUAUGUUUCAGAACUGAUAUGCCAUGAAUGUCUUUACAAUACCUUAUGCUAUGCUGCUGAUUAGGGGCAUUAUCUGAUGAUAAGGAUAGAUCCAGGGGUAUUCUUUGACAAUGGACACAAUCAGCUUUGUCAUGGAUCUGUAAUAUAUGAAAAACAAACAAGGGGCUAGAGGCCAGGCAUCUUAACAACAAUGUAAAAAAGCCUUAUUUUAAAGAUGUAUUUGUUCCUACUACUAUUGUGACCUCUAUAUUUUUAUUUCCUGUCAGUGUUGUGAAGCCCACUAGUCAGUAGAUCCUGUGAUUUGAUAACAUUGUGGCAACUUCUGCUAAGCUAACCUUCUAAGGUCUGUGGGUUUGAUUUUAAAUUACAUCUUUUGACAACUGUACAUUUCAAAUGCCUUGUGUAUAUAGCUCAGCAUUAAGGCAAGGUCUGGUGAUGCCCAGCCAAAUUGUUCCCUGCAUACUGAACUUAAUUGCUUGUGCUUUCCCAUAGCAAUGGAAGAUAACCCAGAUCAGUUAAGAACUGGAAAUGUGCACUGAGAUUUUUAACGAUCCAGCUUAAAGAAAAUGCACCAGAAAACAUGUGCAUCUGUGGUCACUGUGCUUUAUCUUGUCCUGGCAGAGGGCUCCCACAGUUCCCCUUGGAAUAAACGCAAAUGCAGCUUCUCUAUUAAUAAAGCUCCUGCUAACAAAGGAUGGUGACUUAAGUACUGCAGUGCAGGUUUAGUUCACUGCAGUCAGAACUGACUUCUGGUUGUCCAGGUGAGUGCCUAGGGCUGAGAACUCACAUACUGCCACUAUUAGGUAUUUUAGACUCUGGUUUUAAAAAACAGACUUGUCUGUGAGUGUGUAUGUGUUUGUAUAUGUAUGUAUUUACACCCACACCCCCUUUGUAGACUCCAUAUGGCAUCCCCAUAUGGACCCUCCCACUCUUUAUGUUACAUUUCUGUUGUGCAUUGGGGAGGGGGAGGCUGAUAACUGAAUGACACCUGGGCAAGGUUUUACCUGAAUCAUUUUAAUGUUCCAAGCAUUCAGAGUGGGCCACCUGCAAUGACAGACAAACCACUCUGCAGACAAGUGAAGGCUAGGAGGUAUCCAUCAGAAUCCCUGCAGUCUGGUGUCAGUGAAGUUUAGAAGGGCAAACGUGAGAUGGCAGAUGUCAGUAGCAGAGGAAGGAGUACCACUGACCUUCAAAUGCUGAGUUUCUCUCAGAAGAGAAACAUAAGAUGAUGUAGGAUUUACUGACUGUUUCUCCUAGUGUUUUUUGGAAAGCUGAAACUGCUUAAGAGGAAAGGAGUACAGGUAGUCCUCCAGUACAGAGGAAAGGCAUCCCUGAGGUACACCUGAGGGACUUUGCUGGCAGAACCUGGCACCUGCCAAAUUCCUCCUUAUUUCUGGCACAUAGGAAAUAAGAAGGCAGAAGGCCCAGUAUGUACACUGAAGUGAACUGUCAGUAAGCAGAUUCACUAGGCACAGUUAACCAUGGCCACUUCCUAUAAGCAUACCCCAGACUUUAAAGAUACUGACUCACUGAAAAAGUGUCUAGAAGGUGCUCUGCUAAUAAGAUCUCACUAACCAUCCAUCUCAUGGUCAUUACUGCCAUAUUCAUCUCCUAAAGAAGGUAAUGAGCACAGCAAUCAAUCUAAAAAAACCUCUGGAUCUCCUUCCAUUUUAGAUGCAAUGUUUUUUAAGAGCAAAUGAUCAACUUUUGCUACUGUGUAAUUAUUUUCAAGGCAUUACUCUGUGAUGAGACGACACACUAGAAAGCAGCUGGGGGGUAACAUUUGCCUUUAAGGCCAUUCCUACAGCAGUUUUCUUGGUUCUCUGCUAAAAAUGCAUGAAACCAGACUAACUGCAGAGUCCAUCGAGGUAGAGGUAACUAAUAAAUGAUGUCAUUUUCAACUCAGGAUGGGACAGACAGACUGUGACUGUUAUCACUGUAAAAUUCCAGCUUUGUUUGGGUCAUUGUAAGGAUUGUGCUGCCCUAGGAGGUCCAGGGCAUGCCACUGCUGGUACCAUGUCCCCAGGAGCCUCCAGUGCUGUCCCACCAGAGCCACUGACUCUCCCAGGACCCUGCAGACAGAAAAGUUUGUCAAGAAAUCUAGGUUUUCUGCAUGGCAGGACAGACCACUGAGGGCACAGCACUAAGCUGGCAGGGUUGGCUAUUUUUUAUUGACUCAAAUUUUUAAGUAGAGAAAGGAGGCUGAGACUAAGCAACCUUCGAAAAUUUCAGAUGGUGCUUAAUGGGUAAAAAGAAAAGGAUUGUUUGUCGCGGCUCUCGUUUUUUCUUCUCAAUUAGCACAGCAGCGAGGUUAAUUUGGCUACAGGAGUUCAUUCAAGUAGAGCAGCUAAUUGCUGCACAUGGUCCUUCCUUUUCCUCAAGCACGGUAGACACGGUGUCCCAAAUAUAAACCAGGGCACCACACCGCUUGCAGUACUGUCGUAUUGCCACAGAGUGGUGGUGAAGACCUUACCGAAAGCUUCGCUGCUCAGCGGCACUGAGGUUACGUCCUUCGGUAUGUGCAGACCACACGUGUCAUGUCUUUGCAGUGUGGGAACACCCUCAGACACACUGUUUUCAGUCACUUGCACCAACCAGGGUGAAUUAAGGCCACUUCCUAUAACACAUUAACUCCUGUGAUUUUUGGUUUUAUCCUUCAGUGUUCAUGACCAGCAUUUAAGGAGUUGAUGAUAAGCUCAGUUGCUUUACUUCCACUAGUCCUUAGCAGCAGUUGCAGGAGUUUCAAGAAGACAUAAUUAAGUACUGAGUUAUAGCUUUUAAAAAUUUAGUUACCAAUGUUAUAUAAUUUAGUAUAGCAGUAGCUUUCACUGUUGCUUGAAUGGCUAAAUGGGGAGCCUGCUAAUUACACUUGAAAAGCUCUCUUUGUCAUGCAUUUUAUUUACUUUAAUUCAACCUUGUUCUUUUCCAUAAGCAGCUAAUAUUUGUAAUAAUAUGUUCUCAGCAUUUUUUGUUUUAAUUUCUAUAGUCUUUUUCCCUAAUUCCAUUGAAAAUUACUUGAUACAGAAACUAUUACAUGUUUUGCAGCACAAUAAUGGUGUGAGAUAUGGCUUCCAUCCUACAAACCAACCAACCUGUUAAAGGUUAAAAUUUCUGUGAUGUAUUUGUAAAAUGGAACAGGCAAAUCAAAGCCUUAUUAAUCCAUUUUAACAAUUUUCUUUCAUGUAAGAGUGGUAAAAGCCAAAACACAGAGCACUUCAGCUUAAUAUUGGAAUAAAUAGGAAGAUUCCAGUUUAAAACUGUGUUUUAAUUAUUGAACAGCUCUCAGAAUUAAAUCACUGACCUUUGAGAAUUUAGUGACCGAACAAGUACUUGUCCUCAAGACACAUAUCUGAGCGUGCAUUCCUUUACAUGAAGCUUUUCCACUCUGGUUAAAGAUGCCCAAGAACGCUGCAAGUACCAAGUGAAUGAGCCAAAAUCAUAUAACCUAUCUAAA